rnacentral:miRNA from 1 species
AAAGUGCAUCAUUUUAGAGGAU